AUUUUUGGCCAUUAAGGAUGAGACAGUUCGUGAUCAACGUGCCCGGAGGCGUGAAGCACAUGUUGACAGAAUGCGGGUGGGUGGAAUAAAACGAGUUGCCAGUUGAACAGACUGUACAACCAAGGGGGACCGGCCAUUGCUUAAAUGACCUCUUCCCUCCAAUGUAAAUUGCUCUUAGGUUUUUUAACUGACGUAUAUUAAGCUAGUUAAACCGACUCCAUGCCCUCAGUCGUCUCCCGCACCGGCUGCCCUCCGGACGCUCCCUCCGACCAGCAACAGGUAAGCAACGCCUUCAAAUAACUGCUGGCACGAGUUGUGUUCCCGCGAGUUCCACCUCUGCGACCCGAGAGAAAAGUGUUUUCGUUGUGGAUUCCAGUGGACAAUUUGACACAAAGGAAGGUGCCUGAUUUACACUUUUUUCGUCAUUUUCGUCUAUCCCUUAACGAACUAGGAACCUGAAAAAUUACUGAUUUCUUAAGGCACCUCCGACCUCCGAGGUUCCAAGAUAGCGAUGGAGUGGUCAUGAGUCUAAGUACUAGUGCCGCAGGAGAUUGCAUUUGGAAGUUUAAGAAACGUUCCUGCUGCUCAAGUGCUUAACUUUGUGGCCAAAUCCACACACCCGCCCCAUCAUGGAGCUUUGUCCGAGUUGACAAACAUGUGCAGUGCUAAUAAAUAAAAUUGUGUCUUGUGUGUAAAAUAUAAUUUGUAUGCUUCUAUCAAAUAGUUUUGUGGUAAAGUUAUCAAAAUAUAAAUAAAUAAACGA